ACUAGACUAUAUUCCUAGACUAAUGUUUGUAAGAAAAUUGGUUUUAUUUAUCUUUGUUUUUCUUUUUCAAGCUGUUAUAGAUAUGCCUAAAAAUACUGUAAAGAAGGACAAAAAGGUCUCUCAUAAUAGAAGUGAACAAGGCCUUCAAGCUAUAACAAAUAGUAACAUAGAUUUUAAGAAAAAACAAUUGGAAAUGUUGGAGGUGGAGCACAAAUUCAAUGUAAAAAUAUCAGAAUUAAAAAUGAAGUAACUUCAAUUAGAAAUUGAACUUUUGGAAAAUCAAAAAAUAUCUAUUGCUAAAGAA